rnacentral:rRNA from 1 species
CCUACGGGUGGCUGCAGUGAGGAAUAUUGCUCAAUGGGCGCGAGCCUGACCCAGCCAAGUAGCGUGAAGGAUGACUGCCCUCCGGGUUGUAAACUUCUUUUAUAAAGGAAUAAAGUGAGGCACGUGUGCCUUUUUGUAUGUACUUUAUGAAUAAGGAUCGGCUAACUCCGUGCCAGCAGCCGCGGUACUACGGAGGGUACGAGCGUUAUCCGGAUUUAUUGGGUUUAAAGGGAGCGUAGAUGGGUUGUUAAGUCAGUUGUGAAAGUUUGCGGCUCAACCGUAAAAUUGCAAUUGAUACUGGCAGCCUUGAGUACAGUUGAGGUAGGCGGAAUUCGAGGUGUAGCGGUGAAAUGCUUAGAUAUCACGAAGAACUCCGAUGGCGAAGGCAGCUUACUAAACUGCCACUGACAUUGAUGUUCGAAAGUGUGGGUAGCAAACAGGAUUAGAUACCCUGGUAGUC